rnacentral:rRNA from 1 species
GACGGAGGGUGCUAGCGUUGUUCGGAUUUACUGGGCGUAAAGGGCGCGUAGGCGGCCAGAUCAGUCGGGUGUGAAAGCCCGGGGCUCAACCCCGGAACGGCACCCGAGACGGUUUGGCUGGAGACCGGGAGAGGAGGGUGGAAUAGCCAGUGUAGAGGUGAAAUUCGUAGAUAUUGGCUGGAACACCGGUGGCGAAGGCGGCUCUCUGGGACGGUACUGACGCUGAGACGCGAAAGCGUGGGGAGCGAACAGG